rnacentral:rRNA from 1 species
UACGAGGGGGGCAAACGUUGUUCGGAUUCACUGGGUUUAAAGGGUGUGUAGGCGGGUAUUUAAGUCAGUGGUGAAAUCUCCGGGCUCAACCCGGAAACUGCCAUUGAUACUAUUUAUCUUGAAUUCUGUUGAGGUAGGCGGAAUAUAUCAUGUAGCGGUGAAAUGCUUAGAUAUGAUAUAGAACACCGAUUGCGAAGGCAGCUUACUAAACAGACAUUGACGCUGAGGCACGAAAGCGUGGGGAUCAAACAGG